rnacentral:rRNA from 1 species
GAUGAACGCUGGCGGCGUGCCUAAUACAUGCAAGUCGAGCGAACAGACGAGGAGCUUGCUCCUCUGACGUUAGCGGCGGACGGGUGAGUAACACGUGGAUAACCUACCUAUAAGACUGGGAUAACUUCGGGAAACCGGAGCUAAUACCGGAUAAUAUAUUGAACCGCAUGGUUCAAUAGUGAAAGACGGUUUUGCUGUCACUUAUAGAUGGAUCCGCGCCGCAUUAGCUAGUUGGUAAGGUAACGGCUUACCAAGGCAACGAUGCGUAGCCGACCUGAGAGGGGGAUCCGCCACACUGGAACUGAGACACGGUCCAGACUCCUACGGGAGGCAGCAGUAGGGAAUCUUCCGCAAUGGGCGAAAGCCUGACGGAGCAACGCCGCGUGAGUGAUGAAGGUCUUCGGAUCGUAAAACUCUGUUAUUAGGGAAGAACAAAUGUGUAAGUAACUAUGCACGUCUUGACGGUACCUAAUCAGAAAGCCACGGCUAACUACGUG